GAUGAACGCUGGCGGCGUGCCUAAUACAUGCCAGUCGAGCGAAUAGAUGAGGAGCUUGCUCCUCUGACGUUAGCGGCGGACGGGUGAGUAACACGUGGAUAACCUACCUAUAAGACUGGGAUAACUUCGGGAAACCGGAGCUAAUACCGGAUAAUAUAUUGAACCGCAUGGUUCAAUAGUGAAAGACGGUUUUGCUGUCACUUAUAGAUGGAUCCGCGCCGCAUUAGCUAGUUGGUAAGGUAACGGCUUACCAAGGCAACGAUGCGUAGCCGACCUGAGAGGGUGAUCGGCCACACUGGAACUGAGACACGGUCCAGACUCCUACGGGAGGCAGCAGUAGGGAAUCUUCCGCAAUGGGCGAAAGCCUGACGGAGCAACGCCGCGUGAGUGAUGAAGGUCUUCGGAUCGUAAAACUCUGUUAUUAGGGAAGAACAAAUGUGUAAGUAACUAUGCACGUCUUGACGGUACCUAAUCAGAAAGCCACGGCUAACUACGUG
rnacentral:rRNA from 1 species